GGGCCGGUCGUCUAGCCUGGUUAGGACCCUUGCCCUGUUAAGGCUGAGGUCGCCGGUUCAACUCCGGCCCGGCCCA
rnacentral:tRNA from 1 species